rnacentral:rRNA from 1 species
GCAGUCGAGCGGCAGCGGAAGUAGCUUGCUACUUUGCCGGCGAGCGGCGGACGGGUGAGUAAUGUCUGGGAAACUGCCUGAUGGAGGGGGAUAACUACUGGAAACGGUAGCUAAUACCGCAUAACGUCGCAAGACCAAAGAGGGGGACCUUCGGGCCUCUUGCCAUCAGAUGUGCCCAGAUGGGAUUAGCUAGUAGGUGGGGUAACGGCUCACCUAGGCGACGAUCCCUAGCUGGUCUGAGAGGAUGACCAGCCACACUGGAACUGAGACACGGUCCAGACUCCUACGGGAGGCAGCAGUGGGGAAUAUUGCACAAUGGGCGCAAGCCUGAUGCAGCCAUGCCGCGUGUAUGAAGAAGGCCUUCGGGUUGUAAAGUACUUUCAGCGGGGAGGAAGGCGUUGAGGUUAAUAACCUCAGCGAUUGACGUUACCCGCAGAAGAAGCACCGGCUAACUCCGUGCCAGCAGCCGCGGUAAUACGGAGGGUGCAAGCGUUAAUCGGAAUUACUGGGCGUAAAGCGCACGCAGGCGGUCUGUCAAGUCGGAUGUGAAAUCCCCGGGCUCAACCUGGGAACUGCAUUCGAAACUGGCAGGCUAGAGUCUUGUAGAGGGGGGUAGAAUUCCAGGUGUAGCGGUGAAAUGCGUAGAGAUCUGGAGGAAUACCGGUGGCGAAGGCGGCCCCCUGGACAAGACUGACGCUC